CUGUCUAACAACACCCCAAUGUGUGUUCAGGAACAUCUCCUGAGUACAGCGAUACCCCACAUGCAUGGGUUUGUCAGAUUUCUGUACCUAUGCCCUAUCUGUGAGCUAGGCCACUCCAAUUUACCCCAUCAGCCAUUUUUUUUAUAUAUUAGACACCCCUUGGGUAUUUGAAGUGCUUUUAUUUUAACUCUUUGAGAUUUUUGAGAAAUUUUAGCACUUGCUCAAAAUAAUAAACUUUAUUUUUUUAUUUUUUUUUAUUUUUUUAAUACUUUUUUUAUAUUUUUUUUUUACACAUUUUGCUGGUACUGGAUGGUUCAUCUAGUGACAUCACUGCAUAAUUAUUUUUAAAUGUUAGCACAUUUUUAUUUAUUUUUUUUCCAUUUUU